rnacentral:rRNA from 1 species
GAAUCCUGAAUUCGAAUGGGACACACGAGGAUUCAGGGGUCAGCCGGUUGUGUCAGGCUUGCUUGCCCCGCCAGAUGUUGCUGGUCGCCCGCUACGAUUCGCGUCGUGUGCGGUGUCGUUCCCGGCGAUCACUCGGUGGGGUGCUUGCUCUGCCUUCUGGGGUCUUGCACUUCCUCCCUAGUAGAAACGUCGCGACCCGUUGGGUGUCGGUCUAAGGCCUGGGAAGGCAGACCGCACGUCCUGCGUUGUGUGCGCAGGUGUGCGGACUCCCAGUGUCCUGGCCGGCUGCUCGACGGUAUGAUCAGAGGAGUCGAUCCGCUGAAUAGGAAGCAUUAUGGUUGUGUAGCGUCCCGGCCCGGCGCCGACACGUGCGGGAUGGUGGUCUCGGCUGCGGGUACCCGUGCUCUGCACGGUCCCGGCCCCGCUGCGUUGUCGGAUUGCUGGUGUCCUCGGACUGGAUCGCCACUCCCGUCAGCGACGCCCAAUCUUCGGAUGGUCUCCCG